rnacentral:rRNA from 1 species
UACAGAGGUCCCAAGCGUUGUUCGGAUUCACUGGGCGUAAAGGGUGCGUAGGCGGUCGGGUAAGUCUGAUGUGAAAUCUCACAGCUUAACUGUGAAACUGCAUUGGAUACUAUCCGGCUAGAGGAAUGGAGGGGAGACUGGAAUACCUGGUGUAGCAGUGAAAUGCGUAGAUAUCAAGUGGAACACCAGUGGCGAAGGCGAGUCUCUGGACAUUUCCUGACGCUGAGGCACGAAAGCCAGGGGAGCAAACGGG